GGGAGGUGACGCCGGGAGGUCCCGGCUGAGAGCGCCGGCUGCCGGCUGGGGACCUGGCAUCUAACUACCAUACAAGUUCAGACCAAUGGAAGAAAAGAGCAGCAAAAAUUGAACUGAAUGAAUCCCAAAAGCAAGAAAUUAAAGACGCCUUUAAUUUAUUUGAUAUUGAUGGGUCUGGAACCAUCGAUGUAAAAGAAGGAAAUGCUUGAUGAAGCUGAUCAUGAUAGAGAUGGAGAAAUAAACGAGGAAGAUGUUUUGAGAGUGAUGAAAAAGACUACUCGUUAUUAAUAGCGUUGUUUUAGUCCUUGUGGAAAAUUAACAAAUUUGUAUUUGUUAUGCAGUUUUAUAAUUUAAUAUCUGAAUGUAUUCAUUUUCAGUUUUUAGUUUAUAUGUACACAUUGGCUUCUUGAUGUCUAAUCCAUGUAAGAAGUUACACAUCUCUACCAAUAUGAUGUUAAAUCUACAGCAUCAAGAAACAAAACAUAAUGACUUCUUUGAGCCAUUAAUCCAAGAACAGUAUUGAUUCUAGCUGCUCUUUUGAGAACCUUAGGUCACAAAGACUUAGAAUUUUAAAGUUUGAUGAAGUUGGCUUCACAUCCAAAUGAAUUUGGCAAACAAAACUUAUAUUUUCCUUUUGUGCAACCCAAAAAAACCUGAUGAACAUUUGCUUUUUAGUCAGUUACUCAAAUACAUAAAGUAUUAAAUAGAACUGUCUGGAAACAUUAUUUGCUAAUUUUCUUCUUUUAGUUAUAAAGAAAAUUCAAAAUAGCACUUACAUCACCCAUAUUUCCCUGUAAGUUUGACUCUAUAGUGAGCACUUAAUACCUCUGUGCUAGGACAGGUGGUGUAGAGUUUUAUUUUUAAAAAAUUUUAUUUAUAUAUUUUUUGAGACAAAAUCUCCCUCUGUCACCCAGGCUGGAGUGCAGUGGUGCGAUCUCGGCUCAAUGCAACCUCUGCCUCCUGGGCUCAAGAGAUUCUCCUGCCUCAGCCUCCCGAGUAGCUGGGACUACAGGUACCUGCCACCAUGCCUAGCUAAUUUUUUGCAUUUUUAGUAGAGACGGAGUUUCACUGUGUUAGCCAUGAUGGUCUCAAUCUCCUGACCUCAUGAUCUGCCUACCUCAGCCUCCCAAACUGCUGGGAUUACAGGGGUGAGCCACCGUGCCUGGCCGAGAUUUUAUGUGUUAACCUCAGUAAACAUAUUACAAGUUGGAAGCUGAUUGUAUUAGCUCCAUUUUACAUACAAGAAAACUAAA
ensembl:lncRNA novel transcript